rnacentral:rRNA from 1 species
GUACCAUGCUGAAUAUACCGGUUCUCGUUAGAUCACCGAAGUCAAGCAUCAUUGGGCGAGGUCAGUAUUUGGGUGGGUGACCACCUGGGAACACCGCGUGCCGUU